ACUAAAGAUAUGAUAUUAAAAAUAGCUAGUUAAAUGAGUUGGUUUGGAUAAUACGAUAUUGAUAACGAACGGGUUUAAGUUCUCAUUAACUAAUGGAUGAUGAAAUAAGAAUACGAUAGAAAAUCACUUAAACACUAGCUCUUGCCAAGUCUAAUUUUGAUAGAAUUUGACUGAAUUGCUUUUCCACACUUCAUUAACAAUAUUAGCAGUACAAUGAUAUACAUAAAACAUGGAAUAUACAAAAAAGGAAAGUGACAAAAUGAAAGAAUGUUAACUAACAUUACUUUUUAAAUAUGCCAGUUAAUACAUGGCUCUUAUUUAUAAUAAAUAAAGUUCUGAAAGUGAAAUUGAUAUUUGCGCUUAAUGACAAAUUCUACUUCUUGAAUACAAUAUGUAGGGCUCCGCCUAUGUUGCAACAGUUACGAGGUACCACUUAUUUUUGUCUUUUGUGUUGUCAAAUUUCAUUUAACCCCUUAUCUUCCUUUUUAUUUACAGUUUAUUUAUAGCAUUAUGUGUUUUGGCAGUGACUUUUUAAAAUGUAAUUUUAUUUUAUUUAAUUUUAUUUAUAAGUUUAUGUGGUUUGGCUGGUAAUAUAUUAAAAUGUAAUUUUAUUUUAUUUAAUAUUAUUUAACUUCUAAAAGAAAAA
rnacentral:lncRNA from 1 species